rnacentral:rRNA from 1 species
UAAUUUUAAGUCAAUCUGCUCAAUGAUCAUAAAAAAUUAAAUGGCUGCAGUAUACCUGACUGUACAAAGGUAGCAUAAUCAAUUGUCUUUUAAUUAAAGGCUGGAAUGAAAGAAUUAAUGAAAUAUAUACUGUCUCAAUUAUAAUUGUUGAAUUUAAAUUUUUAGUAAAAAUGCUAAAAUUUAAUUAUGGGACGAUAAGACCCUAUAGAAUUUUAUAUAAUUUAUUAAUAAAUUUUAAUUUUAUCAAUAAAUAUUUAUUAAUAAAAUUAUAUUUUAUUGGGAGGAUAAUUAAAUUUAAUAAACUUUAAUUUAUUUAUAACUAUAAUUAUAGAAUAAUAAAGGAUUUUUUAAUAAAGAUUUUAAAAAUAAAUUACCUUAGGGAUAACAGCGUAAUAUUCUUUUUAGAGUUCUUAUUMAUAAAGAUGAUUGCGACCUCGAUGUUGAAUUAAGAUAAAUUUUAAAUGCAGAAGGUUAAAAAUUAAGUUUGUUCAACUUUUAAAAUCUUACAUGAUUUGAGUUCAGAUCGACGU